AUCUUGCUUAGUUGCGAUCCGAGGGCUGACAUGUUGCCAAUCAGACCGAGUGCCAAAAACUUGGGCAAACUGCAGGCCAAAACUACUAUUCGCAGAAUGGUACAUAGGGCGGUAGUAUCGCAGACUCAAAACGGAGUGCUAUUUAACUAAAAGCUAAAAAGCACCGACAGAAGCCAGUCGGCAAACUAAAAUUCCCCUUCGCCAGAGACCGUUUUUCUUGCCUAUGCUCACAAAUGCAUCUGACUUGCCCAAAAACCCGCAGACAUGCAGGGAAAAGGGAGAUGCAGUAUCCAAAAACUAAUCACCAAUUAGGGAUGGCAUAGAAGAUGAAUGCUAUUCAGUUAUUCAAUUUAAGCUGUAAAGAUUCUUUACGGAGAUAUGGACACUAAUAUCAGCAUAAUCUUUAAAGCUAAAAAUUUUUUGAUUAGCUACGUUUUCCUACAUCCUUUCCUGUAUAAAUUUAAUUUACCCAGAAAACUCGGUUACUAAUGUACUUGCAAUCACGCUCACAUCUCCAACUCAUUCGCACUCCAGCUCGCAGAUAACGUGGCCAAAAAAAAAAUAGCCCAGGCAAAAGAAAACCAGCAUAGAAAUAGACCAAAGGAUAGGAGAGCGAAAAAAAGGAGACUGGAAGAAAUUCGCAUUUGUCUUCAAUUACAUUGAAAUGUCACUCCCUACCUUCAUUCCUUCAUUCUGAGAAAAUUAACAAAUUGAGCUGCAUAAGGUAAGACAGAAAGGAUGGUUGCGUAGAGUCAAGAUGGAGCUGACUGAACGAAUUAAAUAGGCAUGGUUUGGCUAUCAUCGGUGCAUCGGAUACAGUUACAAUAUUCUUAAAUAUUUAUACUUGUAUUAUUCAAAUUAGAAUGAAAAGGUCGCAUAAAUCAGAUUUGAAUGAUAGAACACGUUACAUAACCCGUUAAAUUCAAUUUUUUCUUUUUUCGAAAGAA
rnacentral:sRNA from 13 species